rnacentral:rRNA from 1 species
GUGUCAGCAGCCGCGGUAAUACAGAGGGUGCAAGCGUUGUUCGGAAUUAUUGGGCGUAAAGCGCGUGUAGGCGGCUUUGCAAGUCGGGUGUGAAAGCCCUCAGCUUAACUGAGGAAGUGCGCCCGAAACUGCUUGGCUUGAGUACCGGAGAGGAUGGCGGAAUUCCCCAAGUAGAGGUGAAAUUCGUAGAUAUGGGGAGGAACACCGGUGGCGAAGGCGGCCAUCUGGACGGAUACUGACGCUGAGACGCGAAAGCGUGGGUAGCAAACAGGAUUAGAUACCCGCGUAGUCC